rnacentral:rRNA from 1 species
CACGUAGGGCGCAAGCGUUGUCCGGAAUUAUUGGGCGUAAAGAGCUCGUAGGCGGUCUGUUGCGUCCGCUGUGAAAACUCGGGGCUUAACCCCGAGCCUGCAGUGGAUACGGGCAGACUAGAGGUAGGUAGGGGAGAAUGGAAUUCCCGGUGUAGCGGUGAAAUGCGCAGAUAUCGGGAGGAACACCGGUGGCGAAGGCGGCUCUCUGGGCCGUAACUGACGCUGAGGAGCGAAAGCGUGGGGAGCGAACAGG